rnacentral:rRNA from 1 species
GACGUAGGGCGCGAGCGUUGUCCGGAUUUAUUGGGCGUAAAGAGCUCGUAGGCGGCUUGUCGCGUCGUCCGUGAAAACUCGGGGCUCAACCCCGAGCUUGCGGUCGAUACGGGCAGGCUAGAGUUCGGUAGGGGAGACUGGAAUUCCUGGUGUAGCGGUGAAAUGCGCAGAUAUCAGGAGGAACACCGGUGGCGAAGGCGGGUCUCUGGGCAACAACUGACGCUGAGGAGCGAAAGCGUGGGGAGCGAACAGG